rnacentral:rRNA from 1 species
GACGAACGCUGGCGGCGUGCCUAAUACAUGCAAGUCGAACGAGAGCGACCGGUGCUUGCACUGGUCAAUCUAGUGGCGAACGGGUGAGUAACACGUGGGUAACCUGCCCAUCAGAGGGGGAUAACAUCCGGAAACGGAUGCUAAAACCGCAUAGGUCUUCGAGCCGCAUGGCUUGAAGAGGAAAAGAGGCGCAAGCUUCUGCUGAUGGAUGGACCCGCGGUGCAUUAGCUAGUUGGUGAGGUAACGGCUCACCAAGGCCGUGAUGCAUAGCCGACCUGAGAGGGUGAUCGGCCACAUUGGGACUGAGACACGGCCCAAACUCCUACGGGAGGCAGCAGUAGGGAAUCUUCCGCAAUGGACGCAAGUCUGACGGAGCAACGCCGCGUGAGUGAAGAAGGUUUUCGGAUCGUAAAACUCUGUUGUUAGAGAAGAACAAGUGCUAGAGUAACUGUUAGCGCCUUGACGGUAUCCAACCAGAAAGCCACGGCUAACUACGUG